UACGGGGGGGGCAAGCGUUGUUCGGAAUUACUGGGCGUAAAGGGCUUGUAGGUGGCCAACUAAGUCAGACGUGAAAUCCCUCGGCUUAACCGGGGAACUGCGUCUGAUACUGGAUGGCUUGAGUUUGGGAGAGGGAUGCGGAAUUCCAGGUGUAGCGGUGAAAUGCGUAGAUAUCUGGAGGAACACCGGUGGCGAAGGCGGCAUCCUGGACCGAUACUGACGCUGAGGAGCGAAAGCCAGGGGAGCAAACGGG
rnacentral:rRNA from 1 species